UGGGGAAUCUUCCGCAAUGGACGAAAGUCUGACGGAGCAACGCCGCGUGAGUGAAGAAGGUUUUCGGAUCGUAAAGCUCUGUUUUUCGGGAAGAAUGUGUCUUUUGUAAAUAAUGGGAGACAAUGACGGUACCGGAAGAGGAAGCCACGGCUAACUACGUGCCAGCAGCCGCGGUAAUACGUAGGUGGCAAGCGUUGUCCGGAAUUAUUGGGCGUAAAGGGCGCGUAGGCGGGAUAAUCAGUCUGUUGUGAAAGUGCGGGGCUCAACCCCGUGAUAGCAAUGGAAACUGUUAUUCUUGAGUGCAGGAGAGGAAAGUGGAAUUCCCAGUGUAGCGGUGAAAUGCGUAGAUAUUGGGAGGAACACCAGUGGCGAAGGCGACUUUCUGGACUGUGUCUGACGCUGAGGCGCGAAAGCCAGGGGAGUGAACG
rnacentral:rRNA from 1 species